CGUGUGCUGUGUUGGAUCUCUGGCUUCGAUCUCCUGGACUCAGGUGAGCCUCCUGUCCCAGCCUGUGGAGCAUCUGGGAUUAUCACUGCUUGCUGCCUGUAUACUCGGCAUGUAACCUGACCUUGGACAGACUUGGGCCAAGAAUAUCCAGGACUCUCAGUUUGAAUAUUACCAUGAUUCUAGAAUGUGUGUGUGUGUGUGUGUGUGUGUGUGUGUGUGUGUGCAGGCACAUGUGUGCACACGCUUCCGGAAACUGAACCCAGGGCCUUGUACAUGCUAGAAAUCCCCCCACCACUGAGUUAUACUCUCAGCCCUUUAAAAUAUCUUUAUUAUACUCAUUCUGUGCAUGCAUGCAUUUGGGGUGUAAGCUUUACAUUUUCAAAAUCUGCUUUUAAUAUGGGUUCUAAACACUUUAACCUCCCUUCUAGCCCACCACCCACCAGAGGUAGUGGGAAAGAAAGAUUAUUAGGAUAAAGAGGAAGUGGACUUGUUUAGAAAUGGUUCUUUGGAGUAAAUCCCAUCUGCAUUGUCAGGAAAUCAGCAGUUCAGUUCACAGGAAUCAGCAGCAGAAGCUCGACCCACUCGCAGACACGAUACAGAUAUAACAGCAGUCCAGUUCCUUAGAGUCGGAAUAGCAAACAUGAAUCAGCGGCAGAAGCAUGAUCCAGCAGAAACAGCCAGGCCUCAGUUGAGUCA
rnacentral:lncRNA from 1 species